CCAUUUGUACGUGACUAGAAUUUAAUGUGCAGAGCUACUGUCUGCUGAUGACUUGGAGAAAUAAAGUAGAGUAGGAUGGGGAAGAUCGAUUUCUUUGUUCUGCCUGAAUUCUCUCACUAAAGUCAAAGUCUAGAUUUCAUGGAAUUCUCCCUGUUUCCUCUCCCUUCAGAGAGCAGAGCAACUCUCCAACACACUGAAAAAAAUUGCAGCCAGUGAGAAAUUUACAAACUUCAAUCUUUUCUACAUGGAUUUUGCCUUCCAUGAAAUCAUACAGGAGUGGCAGAAGAGAGGUGGACAGCCCUGGCAGCUCAUCGAGCCCGUGGAUGGAUUCCACCCCAAUGAGGUGGCUUUGCUGUUGUUGGCAGAUCAUUUCUGGGAAAAGGUGCAGCUCCAGUGGCCCCAAAUCCUGGGAAAGGAGAAUCCGUUCAACCCCCAGAUUAAACAGGUGUUUGGAGACCAAGGCGGGCACUGAGCCUCUCAGGAACACGCACCCCUGGGGAGCACAGGGAGGCAGAGGCUUGGGUAAACUCAUUCCACAAACCCUAUGGGGGCUGCUACAUCACAGGCCCAAAGGACUCUUCUUCAGCAGCAUCUUUGCAAAAUGUCUUUCUCUCAAUUAAGAGCAUAUCUGGAUGACUGUGCAAUGCUGUGUGCUCCUGGGAUCAGUCACCCUUCCAUUGUUCCUGAAAUAACCUUUAAUAAAGUGCUUUGGGUGCCAUUC
rnacentral:sRNA from 1 species